ACGGGGUGCAGCAGGCGCGAAAACUUUGCAAUGUGCGAAAGCACGACAAGGUUAAUCCGAGUGGUUUCUGCUAAAGAAACCUUUUGUCAGUCCUAGAAACACUGAUGAAUAAGGGGUGGGCAAGUUCUGGUGUCAGCCGCCGCGGUAAAACCAGCACCUCAAGUGGUCAGGAUGAUUAUUGGGCCUAAAGCAUCCGUAGCUCGUUUUGUAAGUUUUCGGUUAAAUCCAUGCGCUUAACGUAUGGGCUGCCGGGAAUACUGCAUAACUAGGAAGUGGGAGAGGUAGACGGUACUCGGUAGGAAGGGGUAAAAUCCUUUGAUCUAUUGAUGACCACCUGUGGCGAAGGCGGUCUACCAGAACACGUUCGUCGGUGAGGGAUGAAAGCUGGGGGAGCAAACCGGAUUAGAUACCCGGGUAGUCCCAGCUGUAAACUAUGCAAACUCAGUGAUGCAUUGGCUUGUGGCUAAUGCAGUGCUGCAGGGAAGCCGUUAAGUUUGCCGCCUGGGAAGUACGUACGCAAGUAUGAAACUUAAAGGAAUUGGCGGGGGAGCAC
rnacentral:rRNA from 2 species